GACAGAGGCCUCAAGCGUUAGGCGGAAUCACUGGGCUUAAAGCGUGUGUAGGCGGAUCGUUAAGUGCCUUGUGAAAUCCCACGGCUUAACUGUGGAACGGCUGGGCAUACUGGCGGUCUUGAGCCAUCUAGGGGCGACUGGAACAAACGGUGGAGCGGUGAAAUGCGUAGAUAUCGGAAGGAACAUCAGUGGCGAAAGCGACUUCCUGGACCAAUACUGACGCUCAUGUGCGAAAGCGUGGGGAGCAAACAGG
rnacentral:rRNA from 1 species